rnacentral:rRNA from 1 species
GUCUACGGCCACACCACCAUGAACACGCCUGAUCUCAUCUGAUCUCGGAAGCUAAGUGGGGUUGGGCCUGGUUAGUACUUGGAUGGGAGACCGACUGGGAAUACUGGAUGCUUUAGGCU